rnacentral:rRNA from 1 species
UGAGCAAUCUGCCCUUCUCAUCGGAAUAAGCGUUGGAAACGACGUCUAAUGCCGAAUACGACCUCCUUUCGCAUGAUCGGAGGUGGAAAGCUCCGGCGGAGAAGGAUGAGCUCGCGGCCUAUCAGCUAGUUGGUGUGGGUAAUGGCCUACCAAGGCGUCGACGGGUAGCCGGCCUGAGAGGGCGACCGGCCACACGUGGGACUGAGACACCGGCCCAGACCUCCGUACGGGAGC